rnacentral:rRNA from 1 species
AGUGAACGCUGGCGGUAGGCCUAACACAUGCAAGUCGAACGGCAGCACAGUAAGAGCUUGCUCUUACGGGUGGCGAGUGGCGGACGGGUGAGGAAUACAUCGGAAUCUACUUUUUCGUGGGGGAUAACGUAGGGAAACUUACGCUAAUAUCGCAUACGACCUACGGGUGAAAGCAGGGGAUCUUCGGACCUUGCGCGAUUGAAUGAGCCGAUGUCGGAUUAGCUAGUUGGCGGGGUAAAGGCCCACCAAGGCGACGAUCCGUAGCUGGUCUGAGAGGAUGAUCAGCCACACUGGAACUGAGACACGGUCCAGACUCCUACGGGAGGCAGCAGUGGGGAAUAUUGGACAAUGGGCGCAAGCCUGAUCCAGCCAUACCGCGUGGGUGAAGAAGGCCUUCGGGUUGUAAAGCCCUUUUGUUGGGAAAGAAAAGCAGCAGGUUAAUACCGCGCUUUUCUGACGGUACCCAAAGAAUAAGCACCGGCUAACUUCGUG